GGAAUUUCAGAGCAUAUGGUUUGGUAUGCAUAUAACUUGGGUGACUAUGGGGAAAGGGAGAAUGUUAAGGUCCUCGUGGAUAUGAGGAUCAACGUUUCUCCCAAUUUUGUGCAGCAGAAGUAGCAGGCAGACACCUCGCCAUCACUGAGCUGUGGGAGGAGCCUGCCUGAUCCAGAGUGUUUCCCUCCCACCCAGCAGCACACACACACGCUGCUGCUGCUGACCCCAGGGCAGCUGCUACCUGCUGUAGUCUGGCUUAUGUUGGUGCUUUAUGCAUCCAACUUAAAAAUAAAGGGGCUUGACUGUCAAGCAGGACUGAAUAUUACUCAGCAUCCUACAGGCUUUGAGCAGUAGAAAAUAGGAAAGGACUGUGAAGUUUCUUGCAGCAGUAGUUGCUUCCUGCCCAGGACUCCCCAUGCUGCUCUCUGCUCCCUGGGAUAAAGCAAUGGUCUGGGCGAUGCACUACACAUCCUGGCUCUUCCGCCUCAGGCCUGCCCGCUGGAGCGGCCGCAGCAUCCACAGCUCCCCACCGGAGGGGAAAGUGGGACUGGUGGAGACAAUCAUUGGAUUCUCAGCAUUUUCACUAGCAGUUCUUGGACCAGCUGGAUGGUUCCUGUACCACCUUCCAAGCUAUAAAAUGGAAUAAAAAACUCCCCUUCAAAUUUAAGCUUUGUCAGUGAAUCCAACAUCUUGAUCUGAGGCCCAGUUAUGCAUCUGGAAACCUUCCUACAGAUUUUAAUGAGUUUUGGAUAAGGACCGAUCCAGAGAAAAAUCCAUGCCAGUAACUGAAGUGCAGCCUGGCAAGUGCUCUGCAAAACACUGCUCUUGCAUGCCAUGAAUAUAUCCACUGAAAUCAAUUAGGCUGUUCUGCAGAAUCUUUUGUAAAAAAGCAUUUUGAACAUUUCCGUGUGCCUGCUUGUCCUGUACCCAAUUUUGUCAUCCAUGUCUCACCUGGUAAUGGCUAAAUAAAUCAUUAAGACACA
rnacentral:lncRNA from 1 species